GAGUUUGAUCGUGGCUCAGAUUGAACGCUGGCGGCAUGCCUUACACAUGCAAGUCGAACGGCAGUACGGGAGCUUGCUCCUGGUGGCGAGUGGCGAACGGGUGAGUAAUGCAUCGGAACGUAUCCUGGAGUGGGGGAUAACGUAGCGAAAGUUACGCUAAUACCGCAUAUUCUGUGAGCAGGAAAGCGGGGGACCUUCGGGCCUCGCGCUCUUGGAGCGGCCGAUGUCGGAUUAGCUAGUUGGUGAGGUAAAGGCUCACCAAGGCGACGAUCCGUAGCAGGUCUGAGAGGAUGAUCUGCCACACUGGAACUGAGACACGGUCCAGACUCCUACGGGAGGCAGCAGUGGGGAAUUUUGGACAAUGGGGCAACCCUGAUCCAGCCAUGCCGCGUGAGUGAAGAAGGCCUU
rnacentral:rRNA from 1 species